rnacentral:tRNA from 1 species
AGUAGAUUGCCUGAUAAAAGGGAUAUCUUGAUAGGAUAUAUCAUAUAUACAAAUAUAUCUGCUA